GCCAAACUAUCUUAAUCGGUAGAGCACCAGACUUUAAGAAUCUGGCUGUGGGUUUGAGCUCUACGUUAGGCG